rnacentral:rRNA from 1 species
UAGGGAAUCUUCGGCAAUGGACGAAAGUCUGACCGAGCAACGCCGCGUGAGUGAAUAAGGUUUUCGGAUCGUAAAACUCUGUUGUUAGAGAAGAACAAGGACGUUAGUAACUGAACGUCCCCUGACGGUAUCUAACCAGAAAGCCACGGCUAACUACGUGCCAGCAGCCGCGGUAAUACGUAGGUGGCAAGCGUUGUCCGGAUUUAUUGGGCGUAAAGCGAGCGCAGGCGGUUUCUUAAGUCUGAUGUGAAAGCCCCCGGCUCAACCGGGGAGGGUCAUUGGAAACUGGGAGACUUGAGUGCAGAAGAGGAGAGUGGAAUUCCAUGUGUAGCGGUGAAAUGCGUAGAUAUAUGGAGGAACACCAGUGGCGAAGGCGGCUCUCUGGUCUGUAACUGACGCUGAGGCUCGAAAGCGUGGGGAGCAAACAGG